UAGGUGAACCUGCGGAGGGAUCAUUG
rnacentral:rRNA from 2 species